GAUGAACGCUGGCGGCGUGCCUAAUACAUGCAAGUCGAGCGAACAGACGAGGAGCUUGCUCCUCUGACGUUAGCGGCGGACGGGUGAGUAACACGUGGAUAACCUACCUAUAAGACUGGGAUAACUUCGGGAAACCGGAGCUAAUACCGGAUAAUAUAUUGAACCGCAUGGUUCAAUAGUGAAAGACGGUUUUGCUGUCACUUAUAGAUGGAUCCGCGCCGCAUUAGCUAGUUGGUAAGGUAACGGCUUACCAAGGCAACGAUGCGUAGCCGACCUGAGAGGGGGAUGGGCCGCACUGGAACUGAGACGCGGUGCAGAGGGCGAGGGGAGGCAGCGGUGGGGAAGCUUGGGCGAUGGGGGGGAGCGUGGCGGAGCGGGGCGGCGUGGGUGAUGAAGGUGGUCGGGGGGGAGAGGGGUGUUGUGGGGGAAGAGCGGGUGGGGGGGGAGGUGUGCGCGUCUUGACGGUACCUAAUCAGAAAGCCACGGCUAACUACGUG
rnacentral:rRNA from 1 species